rnacentral:lncRNA from 1 species
UAAAAAACAUGAUGUUUUUUAAACAUUGUUAAAAAACAAGACCAAAGCAUAAUGUUUAAGAAAUGUGAAUGUAUAUUUCCAUCUUUAAAGGCAUUUGAAUACAGUACAUGAAAUUCAAAACCUCAGUUGUGAAUUCGCUAUUUACCAAUGACAAGGUUUAAGUUCUUCAGUGGCCAUGAGUAAGUUAAGUUUGUCAUCACUUUUUGCCCUGGUGUAGUAUUUUCCAAAUAGUAAAUGCUCAAUUCACAUGUACAUUAAAGUAAAUACUAAGAAAACCCUCACAUGUAACUAGACACAAUUCUAUUCAUGUAUCUUUGAAAUCAACUGGAGACAUUAUCAAUUAAUGCAAAGAUCCUGGGCUUUCAAUCCAAAGAAGCUUACCUCUCUGCUCCAGAUGCUCAUCUUGCUGGCUGUGUGUCUCCAGGGAAUUGAAGCACCUUGAAAAGGAUAAGAAAACUUCAACAUUACAACGAUGUUUCAUAUCAUUAGGCUCAAAUUAAGUAAAUAACAGAAUCCUAAGCUGAUGACACAUCCUGGGUUUGCACUAAUCAUAAUUUGCAAUCUCCAUCAUUGUCAUCAGAACCUUUUUGCCUAGCAACAUUCCUGCUGCUGCUUCUGUUCCGACCCUCUGGGUGCAACUGAAGGAGGAGGCAGUCAAAAGGAAAAACACAAAUAUCUCCAAGAUGGCACUUACAAAAAGCAACAACAAUGACAAAGUAUAAAUACAAACACACACCUUGAAGUUUAUGUUCUUACUCAAAUGCAAGCAUCAACAAUGGCCUACUGUCAGCAAGUUAAAUGGCUGGGGCUGUUUCAGUCUCCCAUUACAUGAAGAAUCUUCUGGAGAGGAAAGAAGAAACCAUGUCUAGACAAGGUGCUGGAAAGACCCAGGGAAGACACAGAUUUGUUCCUUUCUCCACCAUGCCUCACUAUGUGUCACCAAACUUAAUUCAGCAUCAGUGCUCCAAAUACUCCAUCCUACAAUUAGAGAAACCACUGAAUUCCGAUAUCCUCCACCCAAAUGGUAAUGAAGAUUGGAGAAAGUGACGCCCAUGCAUAGCGGAGAAGUGGAUUGCAGAUAUAACAAGGAGCACAGUAAACUGAGAUGUAAAACACCUUAUUCAACAACGAGGAUGCUGACUCAAAAGCAAAAGUUGAAGCACAUUAUGAAUGAAUGUCAAAAGGGAAAAAUCUAAAGCUAACAUAAAAGAGUGCAACUACAUCAAA